rnacentral:misc_RNA from 1 species
GAUGAAGAACGCAGCGAAAUGCGAUAAGUAAUGUGAAUUGCAGAAUUCAGUGAAUCAUCGAAUCUUUGAACGCACAUUGCGCCCUCUGGUAUUCCGGGGGGCAUGCCUGUUCGAGCGUCAUUAUAACCACUCAAGCUCUCGCUUGGUAUUGGGGUUCGCGGUUCCGCGGCCCCUAAAAUCAGUGGCGGUGCCCGUCGGCUCUACGCGUAGUAAUACUCCUCGCGAUUGAGUCCGGUAGGUCUACUUGCCAGCAACCCCCAAUUUUUACAGGUUGACCUCGGAUCAGGUAGGGAUACCCGCUGAACUUAAGCAUAUCAAUAAGCGGAGGA